GAAUUUUGGACAAUGGGGGCAACCCUGAUCCAGCCAUCCCGCGUGUGCGAUGAAGGCCUUCGGGUUGUAAAGCACUGUUGGCAGGGAAGAAAAGGAUCUGGCUAAUACCUGGAGCUGCUGACGGUACCUGCAGAAUAAGCACCGGCUAACUAGGUGCAAGCAGCCGCGGGAAUACGUAGGGUGCAACCGUUACUCGGAAUUACGGGGCGGGAAGCGUGCGCAGGCGGUUCGGCAAGAAGGAUGUGAAAUCCCCGGGCUUAACCUUGGAACUGCAUUCUUAACUGCCGGGCUAGAGUAUGUCAGAGGGGGGUAGAAUUCCGAGUGUAGCAGUGAAAUGCGUAGAGAUGCGGAGGAAUACCGAUGGCGAAGGCAGCCCCCUGGGAUAAUACUGACGCUCAUGCACGAAAGCGUGGGGAGCAAAC
rnacentral:rRNA from 1 species